AUUUUAAUUCUUUUUUUUUCCUCCCUAACUCUCUUCCCUUAAAAUAUUAAAAAAAAAAAAGAAGAAAAAGACAACACUAUACUAUACUUAAGAACUUAAUUCAGGAACAAAGAUGGUUUAUUUAGAGCUAAUUUAAACAACUAUAGAUAAAAUUCAGAAAAAUUCAAAAUUCAAGAUAUUCACAUAAAUCCUACUAGUAGAUAAAGGAAAGAAACCCCAUUAAGGAUGAAGCCAGAAUUCAAGAUAACUCACAUAUACAAAUACAGAAAAAGAAAAAAAUGAAAAGGGAAUGACUUUAAAUAGUAAGAAAAUUUAUGAAGGUAUAGAAUUUUUGUGUAAAGAGUUAUUUUAGAGUAAGCUAAGGUAUAGAAGAAACGGAUAAGAUCAAAAAUAAAGAUAGUAAGUUUUUAAAACAGUACACAACACAGAGUCGAGUUAUUUUAGAGUAAAGCUAAGUUAAGAAAUGGAUAAGAUUAAAAAUAAAGAGAGUAAGCCUUUGAAAUAGUACACAACACAAACAGAGUCUAAAAGGGAAGAAAGAAAAAACACACGGACACACACUACAGAAAUGGAGAGACAGCGACGGAGAUGGUGCUGAUGAGGUGGUGGCAGUAGAUAGGAGAAUACUAGAGGUGGACGUAAACGGUGGGGGGUGGGGUGGGUGGUUUUGGUUNNN
rnacentral:lncRNA from 1 species